CAAAAAAAAAAAAAAAAAUAUCACUUGUGCUGAUAUUAAUAAAAGAGUGUGGCUUUCCCACAUACUCGGACAGACAGAGCCACUGUGGAAAUGCUUGAGUCAGUUCGGCGCGGUAAUCUGCGUAAACCUGUGGAGCUCCACGAGUUUGUAGCGAUGCACGUGCGACCAUUCUUACAAUCCAGUGAUUUCGACACAAACAGGAGAGACAAAAUUGGAUAAACGACUGCCGUUAUUGAAUUUCCUCAUGUCAUAACGACAAAAGAUGUUGACGUUCGAGACGCUUCUGGUGAAAGAGCUGCAAAAACAGCAGAGCAGGGCAGAGUUCUGUGACACUGUGCUGCAGACCCGAGGUGUGUCAGUGCCUGUGCACAGCUGUGUGUUGUCUGCCUUCAGUCCUUGGCUCUGUGGUGCUCUGUCAGCCAUGCCAUCACCCCGGAACGGACAGAGGAGACUGAUAGAAGUCCAAGCUGUGGAGGCCUGUACGUUGCUCAGUCUGGUCAGUCUGCUGUACUCAGGUCAGUUGAACGAGGACAAAGAGGAAGUCCUAUCGGCAGCUUGCAAACUAGGCAUCGACAUACCUCAGCAAGUAGCAAAGAGGCCGUCAACUGAGCAAAACACAAAGACGGAGUGCAUGAAAGAGGUGGCGGAGAGAGAGUGUCAAACUGAGACCGUCUCUUCUGAAUGUCAAAACCCCAAAGAGACCAUUGAAAGUGUUCAUUUGAUUGGCACGUCAUCAUGGAGGACCGAUCAGGGGAUCUGCACGUACACGGAUGGCUCUGAUAUCACCCUGGCCACACUUCAGAACGUCCAGGUUAAUCCAGAGAACAUGCCUUCCUUUCAAGUCAUGGAUGUGGUCCCUGAAACCGCAAUGUAUCCCACAGCGAGUGAACCAGCCUGCAUGCCCCAGGUCUACGUAUGUCCCCCUUCAGCUUCAUACCAACAGCCUCCAACCCCACUGCCACCUCACCCUUACCCUUCUCAUAGUACAAAUGUUGAGACAUUGGCCAAUGAAUGCCAGCCAGCAUUGGGGCGCGUUUCAGAGGGUGAGGAGUGUGUUUUAGAACCAUUUGCACGGUUUGAGAACAAUAUCCCAGGUUUUAUCAAUUACUUUCUUGACACCAACAUUGUGCAGGCUGCAGGGCAGAGGGAGCAGAGUCAGAGAGGAAUGAGAGGGGACGUCAAAACUGAGGGAAGGGCGACAAGGGUGCGGAGGGCUGGGGCACGCGGAGGAUUUGCUCUGAAGGGAGAAGGGUUGAGUAUUUGUAAAAGAGAGCAAAACACGAAUAGGUGCGGAAGAGUGGCGAGGUCGGCCUGGAUGGGGCAAGGUGGAGGUAGGAUUGGCAGGAUGCUAGACACCAGACAAAUGUUCAAGAAUCACGAGAGGCUUAAACGGAGACGACAAGGCAGAGGAGCGAUGAAAGAGGAAGGAGAGAGAGGCAGGUCUUCAUCAAGGGGGAGACCCAGGCAGAGACAGACAGGGAGCAGAGGCAGAUUGGUAGAACCAGUGUGUCAGGAAAUAGCUCCACCUCGAAGAGGGCGAAGAGGUCGCCCCCGCAAACAUCCUUUGCCCGAACCAGAUGUUUCCCAAAAUUUCAGUGGAAUUUCACCACCUGAUCAGAAAACCAUGAACCCUCCAGCUCCAUCCCUGAUGCACACCGCAGCUCUCCCAGCAGCCAAUCAGAGCGGCCUCGCUCAGCCAAUGGACUGGCUUAUAGAUGACGUCAUUGCGCAGCUCCCAUUUAUGCCCAACAAUCAAAAUGGAAUAACGAAUACUGCAACUGUAGAUUCCAACAUGGAUCAUCCAAGAACACAGUCCUCAGUUAAGCUCACGGAUCUGGGUAUAACCCAACCGCAGUCUGAAGGUGAGCUGUCUGACAUACUUGAUAGUUUUCUGAGAACGUUUGAGCAACACGUUGCUGUAUGCGAUUCAGACGUUCAAGAUGGGAUGGUGCCCAACAUAAUAGAUGGAACCCAGACCUGUGGACAGUCCUCACAGAAUUACACAGUCCACACACACACAUCAAAUGCACAUGCCACUUCUAUGAACACAACAACAAAGGGAUCAAAAGCCUCAUUAUCCAAGAACAGACCACAAGGAUCAUCUGCUCGUAGACCACAGAAGCCAUCAUGUUUUUGGCAGGUGUCAGGUGUGGAAAUGGAGAAAUCAACAGGACAGCAAAGUGAACAGAAGCCUAAAUCUGGCAGGAUGACCAGAAGCCAGAGUAGGAAGAGGAAGCUGGAUGUUAUUGAAGAACUGCCUAGGAGAGACGAGCUUCUAGCCAAACGGAAGAAAAAACGAAAAAAAGAACAAUUAGAGAAGAUGAAGGUAGAGGCUUCGUUACCAAAGAAGAAAAAGAGAAAGACAGCUAGCAGGCUGCAUAGUGAAGAAAAGUGCACCGGCAGCACAGCUGACUCGAGCUGCAGUGUUACGAGUUCAUUAAUGAACGUCAUGAACACAGCUAGUGGCCACAACAUGAAGUGUGCCACACAAUCAACAAAGACAUUGAAGAUUUUGACCGAUGCAAAGUCUUCUGUAGAGUUGCAUGCUCCCAAAGAGUCCAGUCUUGUAAAAAAGAAGGUGCAGUGCAUUACAGGGAGUUCACGACCCAAGCAAUCAGCCACACAGAAUAAAUCCACUGGGUCCCGUCCAGCUCUUUCUGCAUUUGAGUUAAUGCAAAAGAUCUUGGGAAAUCAGCAGAAAAGAGAGGAAGAGCAAAAAGGAGAAGAGAACAGAAUGUGGACGGUGAAAAAACAGAAAGUAAAGGAGAGGUUGGCAAAUGCACAUGUAUGUGGAGCUGAGGUGAAAAUGACUGAGAAUAAAGAGAAGAAUGCUAGAAUCAGGGUUGAAGGGCACAAUAAUAGCAGAAUAAACCAAAAAGAUGAGGAAACAAGUGGGGGAAUGAAGGAGGCUGGCAAUCAGAAGAACAUUCUUCUUCAGCAGAAUCUGCCAUCAGCUAAUUGUUGCACCAUGUCAAAGGGAGAGAGACUGAUGGAAGACAGCUACAGCAAAGAAAGAUUUGAGACUGCUGACUCUCUCAAUGAUUGUCCUUUGCAAAGAUGCAGCACAGAAGGCCUCAAGCUUAAAAACACGACAGACAUGCCUUUUGUCUCACACGCACUGGUCCCCACCACACCUCUAGAGAAACUCGGAAACACACAAGGGUCAAUAGCCAGUUCAGAAGAGGAUGAGGAUGUUGAUGUUGUGGAGGUCUCUAGUUCCUUGUCUGAGUCCUUCCCUGUGCUGCCAAUCACUGCUGAUAUUGUUCUCAGCACAGAGGAGGAGGAGGACAGUGAUGAAGACGACGAGAUUGAUGUUAUAAGUUUAGGAUCUAAUUAAACGUAGUAAUUUCUGUUACUGUUUAUUACUGUUUAGCUUCAGAGUUCUAGGUGUGUGUUGGUGCAUAUUUGAAAUAGUUUCUCAAAUGAUCAAAGACUUAGAACAUGGUAUCUUUUCCCUGUGUAUAAUUCAACACACGUUGAGUUCACACGUGUGACAGUUGGCAGUAUUUGCUCUUUAGACUUUGGUGGCUUCAGUUUCAGGCAUCAGAAAUUUUUAUAGAUUUGAGUUCUGAAUGUUAAAGUUGUUUAUUUGUGUCACAAUCGUGCCUUAUCGUAAUUAUUGAGACUGCUAUUAAUGCACACAGUUUUCUUGUCAUUUGCCAUCUUUUGUAGCCAUGUUCAGAAUUAAAAGACAUGGAUCCAACCUUGGUUGUUCUUGUGUUCAAA
ensembl:lncRNA